rnacentral:lncRNA from 1 species
AGGCCGCCGCGGCGGCGCCCGCCCGCGCCUCCAUCCGGGUCCUGGCGCGGUGCUCUCCCGGCAGCGACGGGCGCGAGGGCCGGGGCAUUCCCACGGCCGCGACGGCCCUCUCCGCGAGCGCGAGGAAACCAGGAUUACCGAGGAGGAAAAAAAGCCUUCCUGUGGUGCUCAACUGUGAUUCCUUUUCACCAUUCACCCUGGAUGUUCUCUUCACUGUGGGAUGAGAUGGUCUCAUUCCGUCACCCAUGCUGGAGUGUAGUGAAAUGAUCACAGCUCACUGCAGCCUUGACCUCCCGGACUCAAGCUUCCUAGUAACUGGGACUACAGACGGAGUCUUGCUAUGUUGCCCAGGCUGGUCUUGAACUCCGGGGCUCAGACAGUCCUCCCACCUUGGGCUCCCAGAGUGCUGGGAUUACUGCUGUGAGCCACUGCACCUGCCUGCAUCAUGCUUAGGUUUGAAUGUGGUUGUGUGAUGAUCAGAGCUGCUGCAGCCAUCUUGUGACCACGAAGGGAUGUACAUGAAGCAUGGCACCAACAGCUGCUCCUGUGAGGCCUCAAGAAGCUUACAAUCGUGGCAGAAGCUGAAGGGGGAGCCAGCGUGUGGCAUGGCAAGGGAAGGAGCAAGAGAGAGAGGGAGGAGCUGCCAGGCUCUUGAACAACCAGAUCUCACGUGAACUCACAGAUUGAAAUUCACUCAUUACUGUGAGGACACACCAAGCCAUUUAUGAGGGAUGCACCCCUAUGACCCAAACACCUCCUACUAGGCCCACCUCCAACAUCAGAGGUCACAUGAAACGAGAUGUAUAGGGGACAAAACAGUCAAACCAUAUCAGUCCCACCAGCAAGAAGGCUCUCACUGGAUGUGGUCCCUUGAUCUUGGACUUCUCAGCCUCUGUAACUGUAAAAAAUAAAUUUUGUUUCUUAUAAAUUA